UGGCUGAGUGGUAAAGCGCUUGGCUUCCGAACCGAGGGACAUCGGGUUCGAAUCCCGA
rnacentral:tRNA from 1 species